AUUGAACGCUGGCGGCAGGCCUAACACAUGCAAGUCGAGCGGUAGAGAGAAGCUUGCUUCUCUUGAGAGCGGCGGACGGGUGAGUAAUGCCUAGGAAUCUGCCUGGUAGUGGGGGAUAACGUUCGGAAACGGACGCUAAUACCGCAUACGUCCUACGGGAGAAAGCAGGGGACCUUCGGGCCUUGCGCUAUCAGAUGAGCCUAGGUCGGAUUAGCUAGUUGGUGGGGUAAUGGCUCACCAAGGCGACGAUCCGUAACUGGUCUGAGAGGAUGAUCAGUCACACUGGAACUGAGACACGGUCCAGACUCCUACGGGAGGCAGCAGUGGGGAAUAUUGGACAAUGGGCGAAAGCCUGAUCCAGCCAUGCCGCGUGUGUGAAGAAGGUCUUCGGAUUGUAAAGCACUUUAAGUUGGGAGGAAGGGCAGUAAAUUAAUACUUUGCUGUUUUGACGUUACCGACAGAAUAAGCACCGGCUAACUCCGUG
rnacentral:rRNA from 1 species